rnacentral:rRNA from 1 species
AGCGAACGCUGGCGGCAGGCCUAACACAUGCAAGUCGAACGAACCUUUCGGGGUUAGUGGCGGACGGGUGAGUAACACGUGGGAACGUGCCUUUAGGUUCGGAAUAACUCAGGGAAACUUGUGCUAAUACCGAAUGUGCCCUUCGGGGGAAAGAUUAAUCGCCUUUAGAGCGGCCCGCGUCUGAUUAGUUAGUUGGUUGAGGUAAUGGCUCACCAAGGCGACGAUCAGUAGCUGGUCUGAGAGGAUGAUCAGCCACAUUGGGACUGAGACACGGCCCAAACUCCUACGGGAGGCAGCAGUGGGGAAUCUUGCGCAAUGGGCGAAAGCCUGACGCAGCCAUGCCGCGUGAAUGAUGAAGGUCUUAGGAUUGUAAAAUUCUUUCACCGGGGACGAUAAUGACGGUACCCGGAGAAGAAGCCCCGGCGAACUUCGU